CUCGUAGUUGAAUCUCAGUUCCAGACAGGCGGUCCGCUCCGGUGGUUACUGCCUGGCCUGAACAUCCUGACGGUUUUCCUUCUGUGCUCUUGACUGAGUGUCGUAGGUGCCCGUCACGUUUACUUUGAAAAAAUUGGAGUGCUCAAAGCAGGCGUUCCGCCUGAAUAAUGGUGCAUGGAAUAAUGAAAGAGGACUUCGAGUUCUAUUGUGUUGGUUUUCGGAACACGAGGUAAUGAUUAAAAGGGACAGACGGGGGCAUUCGUAUUGCGACGCUAGAGGUGAAAUUCUUGGACCGUCGCAAGACGAACUACAGCGAAAGCAUUUGCCAAGAAUGUUUUCAUUAAUCAAGAACGAAAGUUAGAGGUUCGAAGGCGAUCAGAUACCGCCCUAGUUCUAACCAUAAACGAUGCCAACCAGCGAUCCGCCUGAGUUACUCAAUUGACUCGGCGGGCAGCUUCCGGGAAACCAAAGUUUGUGGGUUCCGGGGGAAGUAUGGUUGCAAAGCUGAAACUUAAAGGAAUUGACGGAAGGGCACCACCAGGAGUGGAGCCUGCGGCUUAAUUUGACUCAACACGGGAAAACUUACCCGGCCCGGACACCGGAAGGAUUGACAGAUUAAGAGCUCUUUCUUGAUUCGGUGGGUGGUGGUGCAUGGCCGUUCUUAGUUGGUGGAGCGAUUUGUCUGGUUAAUUCCGAUAACGAACGAGACUCUAGCCUACUAAAUAGGCGACCGAUCACUUGUGUCGGUCUUCCUUCUUAGAGGGACAAGCGGCGUUUAGCCGCACGAGACAGAGCAAUAACAGGUCUGUGAUGCCCUUAGAUGUCCGGGGCCGCACGCGCGCUACACUGAAGGAAUCAGCGUGUGUUUACCCCUGUCCGGCAGGACUGGGUAACCCGAUGAACCUCCUUCGUGAUAGGGAUAGGAGCUUGUAAUUGUUCUCCUUGAACGAGGAAUUCCCAGUAAGCGCGAGUCAUAAGCUCGUGUUGAUUACGUCCCUGCCCUUUGUACACACCGCCCGUCGCUACUACCGAUUGAAUGAUUUAGUGAGGUCUUCGGACUGGUGCUCGGAGCGGCUCUCGGGUCGCACCGCCGUACCGGAAAGAUGACCAAACUUGAUCAUUUAGAGGAAGUAAAAGUCGUAACAAGGUUUCC
rnacentral:rRNA from 1 species